CCUGGCUUGUAGACAUGGAAACCUACAGGUGUACCAGUACUGUGCUUCAUUCUUCAUACAAAAUGAGAAUAUUUAAUUUGAAAAUCAGAACUCUGAUACUUUCUCACAUGGAAAUUAAAACGCAAGAAUUCUCAGCCUCUUCUUUCUCUACAUAAAAACAUUUUCAUCAUGCAUGAUCCCAUUUGAUCGUUCUUCCAUCCUUUACCAAAAUGCAUUUCACAAAAAGCUUCGGAUCUUUCCAUUGACUUCAUUUAAAUGGUCGAUUUUCACGGUAUACCCAGGAGGCUGAAUUUGCAACCACAUGUGAUGUACUGUCGAGACAAUUGAACGUAGAGGGCAACGUUUAUGCAGCAUGUCUGUCUACCCCAUGCAUGUACUCAAAUCUCAUCCAAUGUGCGACUACAUGGAAAGCGCUCCAAACACCAGGUUCUCUCUCAAGCUCUCAUCAUUCCAGAGAAGAAGACAUGAGAGUAGAUUCCCAGCCAGUUCCGAGUCCAAAUGUUGUGGCAGCAAUUGAAACAAAAGGAUCUGAACUGGGUGGUGCACAAUUCACAUUAGGCACAUUAAGGAUUUGAUGUUGUUGCAAAGCCUCCUCAUUUAUGAGCGAAUUGAGGAACGAAAACACAUCGUCGGUGCCGGAAUUGAUAUCUUGAUCAGCUUCUCCAAUACCAAGACUUUGAUCGCCUCUCAAAUCCAUCCCAGAAGUACCAUCAUAAUUCAGCAAACUUGUAUAGCCAUGACUUGCAAUAAAAUGGUCGGCGUGAUACUGAUCAUCCAGGUGGGAAUUAAUGUUGUUUUGAAAAUACGCAUUCUCUCUGUUGAUUAUGCGAGUACUGCCACUAGUAGCUUCUUCCAAACCAGAAGAAACAAUAUUCUUAAUAGGUUCUUUUAGGCGUGCUUGGUGCAGAUUCGCCUUCGACAAAGAAGGUUUUGAUUGAUCAAAAGAUUGAGGAUUGAGAGGCUUAUGGGUUCUUGGAUCAAUUCCUUGGUUUAUCAGCUUCUUACUCAGGAGUCGAUGGAGGCGGAGAAUGAGAUCUUCUUCAUCAUCGGCGAUCUGGCCACGUUUAACAGAAGGGCGGAGGUAGUUCAUCCAGCGGAGACGGCAGCUCUUGCCACAGCGGAGGAGACCGGCUUUCUUGGGUAAAGUUCGCCACCGACCUUCACCUUCUUUCUUGAUAUAGUUAACAAGGAGUUCAUCUUCUUCUGGUGUCCACGGUCCUCUCUUUAACCCUACCUUGAUGCAGCAUGGGGUGGUACUCUUUGCUGCUGUAGCUGAAGCUGGCUUUCUCAUCUUGAUUAAUAAUGUAUUGGAAGUACUCGAUAUGUCGAUGGGUUCAAUUACUAAGCUUUAGCUUACCUACCUUUUUCUUGUUUUCUUUCUACAUUUGUUUUUUGAGUUGUAGUAAUAUCUAGGAUCGAUGUUGUGUAUGUGUAUAUGUAGAAUGUCGUGUAAUGAUGAGCUUGAGGUUUGAUGGAUAGAAAGGAUGAGGAUGAGGAUGAGGAUGAGGAUGAGGAUGAGGGUAGGGGACUCUCCUCUCUCUUCUUCUUCUUCUUCUUCUUCUUCUUUCGUGUUGGUGUACUUUCUUCUUGGGAUCAGACGGUGUGAGGUUUGUUGGGUUUAAUGUGGAAUAGGAAAGAUACUGAUAAAUAGGCAAUCGCCUUCUAAGGGGAGUGCAUGUGACGACACCCUAAUAUCCAUCCAUCUAUAUAUAGAAUUAUCAGUCAUUUGAUA